rnacentral:piRNA from 1 species
UUACUCAGAAAGACCACAAAGACCGCUGC